rnacentral:lncRNA from 1 species
CCAGUGGCCACGCAGGCUCCAUACCCCCUGGCUACUUCAUUCACCCCGACACUGGGCGGGUGCUGCCCGAGGCUGGACACCUGGGAUAUGAUCUGCUGAGAGCUACCCUGGUGCCCACUAUGGACUCCAUUGCGGGUGGCGUCCAAACAUCAGAAGCUGCCAUCCUGCCCUAUGUGCCCUACCCAACCAGUCCCGCCACAGGUUCCCCUCCAGCCACGCAUCUGCCCAUCAUGCAGCCAAAAAGGACAUCCCAGUUGGGGGCUCUCAUGACAGACCCCAUCACAGGCAUCGAGGGGCCCAUGCUGGCUGUGACUCUGCACCCCCAAACAAGAAAGUGGCUCACUCUUGGGGGAACAUACUGUAAUCCUCUCACCAAGACCUUGGCCCCUCUGGAGAUGGGGGGCCCCAUGGAGGACCCAGUCACAGGAGGCAUCUCGCCCAUCCUAGGAGUCAGGUUGGAUGAAAACACAGGUCUCCUGGCAGCCCUCAGUGCUGUCCUCCCACACCCUUCUCCAUGCCUGGCCUAGCCUCCCAGUCCCCUCCUCUCGGCCCCCUAUACCUUCCAUGUUCUGGUCCCAGCUGUAAACUCCACCCACCCCCACCCUUUCCACCCUUCCUCCUCACUCUGCCUCUUACCCCUAACCUUCUCUCUCCCCUUCCCCGUCUCUACCCCUAGGGAGGAGAAGAGAAGCAAGGUAGUCCUAUAAAGUUAAUAGAUGCUUUUCAACCAAAAAGGACCAUUGCUCCACCUGUCACCACCAUGCUCCGCCCCCUGCCCUCUCCCUCACCCCCUCCUUUCUUCCUCCCUUCCACCUCCCUCCCUCCCACAGUUCAUCUCCACCCUCGUGCCCUAGUUCCCCUUAUGCCACACCUGCGUGCAUCCCUGCUGCGUCCCUUCCCACCUUGCCCUCUUGGUUCUUGCUUCCAGGUCAGCUGCUUUUACUGGGAGGGCUGCGAGAUGCUUUGGGGAACCUCAUGCUUCCUGGUGACAGCUUUGUAGAGCCACUGAGUGGGAAGACAGUCCGGCUACAGGGGGCUUCUCGACGGGAGGGCCAGACAUUGCCCCAUAUGGGAGGGUCACAGGCCCUGCUGGACACCAAUGUGCUGGUGGCCCAGAGACAAGUGAUUGCAGUGCUCCAGCAGUGCCAGGAGAGUCCAGAGUCGGGGGUGCAGGGGCCUCUGGAGGCUGCCAUCAAGGACAUGAGACAGGCACUGGCCUUGAGUCUGCACCACAUCCUGCAGCAGGCUCGGAGGCUGGAGAGGCAGCUGGCAGCAGUGGAUGACAUUGAAGCCAGUGGCGACAGGAUAGGAAUGAUGCGCUAUCCCGGGACAGAGCUGUGGGUCCCAGCCCUGUAUGGAAUGGAGAUCCCAGAUCCUGAGGGCUCGGGGCUCAUGGUGCCCAUCCUGGGCAUGGAGCAUGAUGAGAAUUUGGGUGAAGCCACACCCCUGGCAGGCUCAAUGGAAGAUGCCCACGGCAAAGGUCUUAUCCCAAUUUCAAUCGGGGCUCAAGCCAUAGACCCCUUGACUGGGGAGCCUGGUCCCGUCAUUGGAGCUCAAAGAGAUCCCUCUUCCAGAGUGGUGGUGCCCAUUGUCCAGGUGCUGGAGUCCUUACCUCGAGGAGUGAGAGACCCUGGUCUGCUGGACACCCUGGAGCAGGAGCUGAGGGCCCGGGAGCAGUACUGGCACCACCAGGAACAGGAGGAGAAGCUGCUACUGGAUCACCUGGGACACCUGAGCCAGGAGCUCCACUUCACUGCAGGCAAUGGCGUGGAGCAGCAGGUGGUUCAUCGUCUCUCUGAUGAGUUUCAGGGGGUAGUGAGAGAGAGACAGAACUUCCUGGCUAGGGCCCUGGGUCAGCUACAGUACCGACAGGAAUGGAGCCGCCUCCAGUUCCUGCACACCCAGAUGAUUGCCUCAGGAACCCCUGUGUGUUUGGAGAAUUACCCUGGACACAUAUUCUAUGGAACAGUCACAGCUUCUGUCAGGGACCUGACUGCUGCCUGUCCCAUGUUGAUCCCUUUUCUGAAGCAACUCGCCACAGCACUAGUCGGAGCUCAAGGGCUGGAGGAUCAGAGGCCAGGAACAGAUACAGAUAAAGCUAACAUCAUCUGGGCUUCACCAUUCUUCUCCAUCCUGAAGAAAACAGACAUCUGGUCCCAAGCCCACAAAGAAGACACUGAACUGCAAAAACAAGUGUAUCACAAACGAGACCCAAAGAGCUCUUUACAGUAUCUUCUAAAACCUCAAACAGUGCAGAAGGAAGAGCUGAUAACUGUGCAACCCAUUGGCCUUUCUGCCAGGGAGUUUGUGGUUUACCAGUACGGCCUCUCCAUCCUGCACCUCCUCAUCCCCCAGCUUCAUGCUCCAGAAAUCACCCUGAAGAUUGCUUCUCAUCUUCCUGCCAUGGAAGCCCAAGGCAGUGCCUUCCAAGAUGGCUUCUUCUGUCAGAGUGCUGAGAACAUAUUGUUCGUUGGGAGAGAGUGCCUGGCCUCUGUGGGAAGCUUUGUUCUGCUGCUGAUCCGCUGCCUGGCCCACAUCACUGCUGGGGAACCCCACCAGGACUCCAACCCUGCCUUUCUGGGGUCAUUUUACAAGGUAUUUAUAACAUAUACAGUGCAU